ensembl:lncRNA
GGGGUUAGGUGGCUAAAGGAAAGGAGUUUUGUUUGUGAGUGGUCAGCACCUGCCAACACUCAAACUCAUGGCCUGAGUAUUUGUGUGUUUGCUUUUAGGCAGCUCAGCAUGAAAACACUCACCAAGGCUGGACACAGGGACUGAGCCUCCCCUGGACUUGGAACCCUCCUGUGUUUUCCAUUUUCACCUGCCACUGCUCACCCUACCAAGCUCUGAAUUUCUGUGACCUUGCUUGGCAGGAAAAUCAGAGUCUCUGCAGGUGGCCAGCUGCCAGGGACAUUCAUUUUUUCCAAUUAGUGGAAAACAGAGGGUGUUACCUCUACUCAUGAUUUAAAAACAGCACCAGAGCAGAAACCCAUGGAGGACAUCCAAUAUCCUGGUCAACAUGCCACUUUUGGAAGCCAGGAGUGCUCUUCUCUGUGCAAUAGAAGACACACCUUCCUCCAGACCUUUUGGAAGGGCUCUAGCAAUGAUGGUUUGAAAAAGGUUUCUAUCUCUGGUGCUGCUGUAUUCCCACUCUUCCCCACAAACACCGCAGUGUCUGAACAGCUAUGAUCUCUCCAAUGUGUUUAUCCUCUCAGCACUCCUGGGAGGUACUUGAUAGAGAAAGGAUAUCAAUGAUCCAAAGAUAUUCAACAGAGAGUGAUUCCAGAGAGUUGUGGCUCUUCUCACCAUGAUAAAUGUAAACAAUGAGUGCUUUUUAGACU